rnacentral:rRNA from 1 species
UACGGGGGGAGCAAGCGUUGUUCGGAUUUACUGGGCGUAAAGGGCGCGUAGGCGGCGCGACAAGUCACUUGUGAAAUCUCUGGGCUCAACCCAGAACGGUCAAGUGAUACUGUCGUGCUAGAGUGCGGAAGGGGCAACUGGAAUUCUUGGUGUAGCGGUGAAAUGCGUAGAUAUCAAGAGGAACACCUGCGGCGAAGGCGGGUUGCUGGGCCGAUACUGACGCUGAGGAGCGAAAGCGUGGGGAGCGAACAGG